rnacentral:rRNA from 1 species
GUGGGGAAUAUUGGACAAUGGGCGCAAGCCUGAUCCAGCAAUACCGCGUGUGUGAAGAAGGCCUUCGGGUUGUAAAGCACUUUCAAUAGGGAGGAAGGCUUAAUGGUUAAUACCCAUUGAGAUUGACGUUACCUAUAGAAGAAGCACCGGCUAACUCCGUGCCAGCAGCCGCGGUAAUACGGAGGGUGCAAGCGUUAAUCGGAAUUACUGGGCGUAAAGCGCGCGUAGGCGGAUGAUUAAGUCAGAUGUGAAAGCCCCGGGCUCAACCUGGGAACUGCAUUUGAGACUGGUCGUCUAGAGUACAGAAGAGGGGGGUGGAAUUCCAGGUGUAGCGGUGAAAUGCGUAGAUAUCUGGAGGAACAUCAGUGGCGAAGGCGACCCCCUGGUCUGAUACUGACGCUGAGGUGCGAAAGCGUGGGUAGCGAACAGGAUUAGAAACCCGAGUAGUCC